CUAGUGCAGACUCAGGAAAGAGGAGCCACCGCGCCGAACUGUAAGAGGAGCAGAUACAAGUGGGAGCCUUAAAAAAGCAAAAGAGGAGGACGGAUCUUCAUUGCAAGAAGGGAGACUCCCAUCCUCAAAGACUAGUUUUCAAACAUUAACUCUUAUCAUUCUCUCCUCCUACUCAUUUGUAACCUUUAAAUUAUACCAAAGCCCUCAACUUGGAAACUAGUUAAUGGCCCAUUAAACAUAUUAGGACAGCUCUGCAGCGAGCAGCAGCACUUAAGAAAGAAACAACAAGAAACAACAGGAGAAGUUUAAAUUUCUGGAGGAAAGAAAAAGCCCUGGAGAAACAGAUUAACAGAAUACAAAAAAAAAACAAAAACGAAGUAAUUUAAUUUAAUUUAAUUUGUUAAAUGAUUAAAUGAACUUCGAUGAUGAGUAUUAAAGAUUUUUUGAUAUCUGUGUAUAAAUAGGCAGUCAUGGUGUGAAACUUACAAAACACUAAUUGUGGCAUAGGUCAUCAGCCAAUAAAGGCCUCUUCAUAGUGAUUUUUAAAUGGCUUGUGUAAGCAUGGGUUUUCUUUCAUUAUUAUCUGUACUAUUGUUUACUGUACUUGUGUAUUUGUAUAUAAUUAACUCCAAAAGCUAUAAA